UCAAAAGUUAAAACUAAUACCGAAAAGCC
rnacentral:sRNA from 1 species